UCCUGAGGGUGCCUGGUGCCGUGUCCUGCAAGGGCUCCCUCCCUCUAUGUUCCCAGGCUGCGAGGAUGAAUGCCACCGUAGAGAAUAAAGUGGAAGUAGGGCUCAGCCAGGCUUGAGUGCCCAGGACUGUCACUGCCCGCCCCUGGGGAGGCCCCUUCCCCCACUCACCUCUGUACAAUUGCUUCCUCUGUUCCCCAGCUCCGCUUCCCUCAGGGUCCCAUGCAAACCAGACUCGUGAUAAAGGCCACCAUUGAUGGGCACUUCCUCUGCACCAGGCACUGGGCCGGGCCCUCCAGACCCAUUUUCUCAUCGAAUUCAUAGCACCACCCCCACAGACUUGGUAGGCGUAGUCCUGUCCCCAAAAUGAGGUUCACAGAGGUCAGAGGAAUGAUCUCAAGGUCAUGGCGGCAGAGCCGAGCUCAGUGAUGUCAAAGCCAGACACACCAUGAUUCUGCUGGUCUUUUCGUCACGUUGCAAGACGGUUGCUGCGGCUCCAGAUGUCACGUCUGCCCUCAAGGCUGAAAAAGGAGGGAAGAGCACAAAUUAGUGGCACUAUUGGUGUUGAAUAUUUCUUUAUCAGUCAUUUAUUGUUGCUUAAAAUACAGUCGUAAAACUUAGUGGCUCAAAACAACAAUUAUUUAUUGGUUCAUGUUUCUUGGCAUCAGAGUUUGGGCUGGGAUCAGCUGGCAGUUCUUCCACUGGUCUAAUGGGUUCACUCAGCGACAGCAGUUGGUGGCUCAGUAGGCGCUAUAUUGUCCAAGAGAGUCUAAGUUGUGUAUUGCGUAUCUGGUAUUUGCUGCUGGCUUUUAAGAUGUGAUGACAGAAGCAGAGGUCAGAGUGAUGCCAUUGCUAGAAGGGGACCACUACCCAAGGACUGUAGGUAGCCUCUGCCAGCUGGAAAAGGCAAGAAGUGGACUCCUUCCCUGAAACUUUCAGAAAGAUCAAACUCUGCCAAUACCUUGAUUUUACCCCAGUAAGACCAGUUUUGGACUUCAGACAUCAGGAACUAUAAGAGAAUAAAUGUGCUAUGCCACUUAUUGCAGCAGCAAUAAGAAACUAUCUCCCUCCAUUGCUCUCUCAUUCUCUAAGGUAGAGGUUAGCCAACUAUGGCCUCGUUGCCUGAUUUUGUAAAUAACUUGUAUUGGAACAUACAUGUCCUUCCCUAUUAUCUAUGUCUGCUUUCACGCUGCAGCAGCACAGGAACUGUGACGGAGACUGAAUGGCCCACAAAGUCUAAAAUAUUUACUAUCUGGCCCUUUGUAAGAAUAGCUUGCCAGCCCCUGCCUGCUCUAAGAGGCUGGCUGAGGCUUCCUUGCAUGUUGGUUUCAGGAUAGCAAGAGUACAAGAAUUUGCUUCAAAGUUCUGGGAAAGAGCCAACAGUUUCAAAGCCUCCUUUUAUCAGGAAAGCAAAGCCUUCCCACCGAUUCCCAACCAGACAUCC